AGAACGAACGCUGGCGGCAUGCCUAACACAUGCAAGUCGAACGAAGCCUUCGGGCUUAGUGGCGCACGGGUGCGUAACGCGUGGGAAUCUGCCCCUCGGUUCGGAAUAACAGUUAGAAAUGACUGCUAAUACCGGAUGAUGACGAAAGUCCAAAGAUUUAUCGCCGAGGGAUGAGCCCGCGUAGGAUUAGCUAGUUGGUGAGGUAAAGGCUCACCAAGGCGACGAUCCUUAGCGUGGUCUGAGAGGAUGAUCAGCCACACUGGGACUGAGACACGGCCCAGACUCCGUACGGGAGCAGCAGGUAGGGAAUAGUUGGAACAAGUGGGGGACAACCCGUGAUCCAGCAAUCGACCGCGUGAGUGAUGAACGGUCGUUAGGUUAGUAAGCUUACUUUACCGAGUAUGUAUAGUGAC
rnacentral:rRNA from 1 species